rnacentral:tRNA from 1 species
UGGGGUGUAGCUCAGUUGGUAGAGUGCUUGUCUUAGAAACAUAAGACUCUGGGUUCAAUCCCCAGCACCAAAA